rfam:Picoides pubescens contig41023, whole genome shotgun sequence.
GGUGAAAAUGAUGAAUUCUGGGGUCCUGAUUCAUGUGAUCUGAGAAAGCCAUCCAUUUCCUGAUUCACC